AUUGAACGCUGGCGGCAUGCUUUACACAUGCAAGUCGAACGGUAACAGGCCUUCGGGUGCUGACGAGUGGCGAACGGGUGAGUAAUGCAUCGGAACGUGCCCAGAGGUGGGGGAUAACGCAGCGAAAGCUGUGCUAAUACCGCAUGUGAUCUGAGGAUGAAAGCGGGGGACCAGGCAGCAAUGUUUGGCCUCGCGCCUUUGGAGCGGCCGAUGUCAGAUUAGGUAGUUGGUGGGGUAAAGGCCUACCAAGCCGACGAUCUGUAGCUGGUCUGAGAGGACGACCAGCCACACUGGGACUGAGACACGGCCCAGACUCCUACGGGAGGCAGCAGUGGGGAAUUUUAGGCAAUGGGCGCAAGCCUGAUCCAGCAAUGCCGCGUGCGAGGAGAAGGCCUUCGGGUUGUAAACCGCUUUUGUACGGAACGAAAAGGCUCUGGCUAAUACCUGGGGCUGAUGACGGUACCGUAAGAAUAAGCACCGGCUAACUACGCG
rnacentral:rRNA from 1 species